CAGAAAGGUAAUGACUUAUCCAGGACACAAAGCUUCAUAAAGAGAAGAACUAGAGCCUAGGCCUUCUGGAAACCAACCCAGGCACUAUAUGAAGUUCUCUUGCCAUAUCUGGAAAAUGGGUUCUAGGGACAAGGUGUUCUUAAAGUCUCCUUCCAACAUAGAAACCCUAAUGCACAAACAGAAUAUUUCUACUGGGAUAAUUUCUAAGCACUCAACCAUUGCAUUUGCUAGAUGUUGCUAUGUAUUGUAGCAGCUUAGACAGGUGAGCAAGAGGUGGAAAAGUUCAGAGCUUUGGGCUCCAGGGUCAGUGAAGACACAAAACUAGGUGGAGAAGGCAAAGGAGAGAAAUGUGGAUGAGACCCUACUGCCUGGUCACAAGCAGCAAUAUCCCCUGUGAGCUGCUCUGAGAUGACACUGUUGUUCUAGGUGCUGUGGAGCAGCUGCCCGUGGGGACUUGGGAUCCAGGUCACACACAGUUAAAUGGCAGUGGAAGAAGAUGUAUGUAACAAUCAACAGAAGAAAUGUCACAAGGCAAACUGGCCAUCUUAGUAAUAAGAGCUUCCAUUUAUUGCUAACUGCAAUGUGUGCCCCUCAGUGUGAUAGGUAUUUAUUUUAUAGGCUUGAUCUCAUUAAAUUCUCACGACAAGCUUCUGGGAUUACUGAAGGUCAUACAGCUGGUAAGUGGUGAUUAAUUGUCGGAGGAGUGGUGUGAAGAACAUAAAUUAUGGAGCAGUUUGGAAAGAGCGAAG
rnacentral:lncRNA from 1 species